rnacentral:ncRNA from 1 species
GGGUGCCCGAUCCCGCGUCUGAUUGGGCAGGUCGUGCGUUGGUCGGGCCGCCAGCG